UGAAUACGAGAUGCUACGGCGUUGAAGCAGUCUAUGUCAUACUUCCAAGAAAAGCUUGCACUGUCACAAACAAAGAAUGCCUGUACCAUAACCGACACAGGUGGGUAGGUAGAGUAUACUAAGGGGCGCGAGGUAACUCUCUCUAAGGAACUCGGCAAAAUGACUCCGUAACUUCGGGAGAAGGAGUGCCUUAUUUUUAAGGUUGCAAUAACAAGAUCCAAGCAACUGUUUACCAAAAACACAGGUCUCCGCUAAGUCGUAAGACGAUGUAUGGGGGCUGACGCCUGCCCAGUGCCAGAAGGUUAAAGAAGUCGGUUAGCAUUCGCUAAGCUGAGAACUGAAGCCCUGGUGAACGGCGGCCGUAACUAUAACGGUCCUAAGGUAGCGAAAUUCCUUGUCGGGUAAGUUCCGACCCGCACGAAAGGCGUAAUGAUUUGGAUACUGUCUCGGAGAGGGGCUCGGUGAAAUAGACUUGUCUGUGAAGAUGCGGACUACCUGCACCUGGACAGAAAGACCCUAUGAAGCUUUACUGUAACUUGAGAUUGAAAUUGGACUUUAUUUGCGCAGUAUAGGUGGGAGGCGUUGAGAAUAAUCUUGCGGGAUUAUUGGAGCCAUCAGUGAGAUACCACUCUUGUAAUGUUAGAUUUCUAACUUUGUAUCAUUCUCUGGUCAAAGAACAGUUUCAGGCGGGCAGUUUGACUGGGGCGGUCGCCUCCCAAAGGGUAACGGAGGCGCACAAAGGUUUCCUCUGAACGGGUAGAAAUCGUAUCUAGAGUGUAAAGGCAUAAGGAAGCUUGACUGUGAGACCUACAAGCCGAGCAGGGACGAAAGUCGGUCUUAGUGAUCUGACGGUGCUGAGUGGAAAGGCCGUCACUCAACGGAUAAAAGUUACUCUAGGAUAACAGGCUGAUCUCCCCCAAGAGUUCACAUCGACGGGGAGGUUUGGCACCUCGAUGUCGGCUCAUCGCAUCCUGGGGCGGUAGUACGUCCCAAGGGUUGGGCUGUUCGCCCAUGAAAGCGGUACGCGAGCUGGGUUCAGAACGUCGUGAGACAGUUCGGUCCAUAUCCGGUGUAGGCGUUAGAAUAUUGAGAGGAGCCUUCUCUAGUACGAGAGGACCGAGAAGGACAUACCUCUGGUGUACCAGUUAUCGUGCCAACGGUAAACGCUGGGUAGCUAUGUAUGGAGUGGAUAACCGCUGAAAGCAUCUAAGUGGGAAGUCCACCUCAAGAUAAGUAUUCU
rnacentral:rRNA from 1 species